rnacentral:rRNA from 1 species
GACGAACCGUCCAAACGUUAUUCGGAAUUACUGGGCUUAAAGGGUGCGUAGGCGGCUCUGCAAGUUGGGUGUGAAAUCCCUCGGCUCAACCGAGGAAUGGCGCCCAAAACUGUGGAGCUCGAGGGAGACAGAGGUGAGUGGAACUUGUGGUGGAGCGGUGAAAUGCGUUGAUAUCACAAGGAACACCGGUGGCGAAAGCGGCUCACUGGGUCUCUUCUGACGCUGAGGCACGAAAGCUGGGGGAGCGAACGGGAUUAGAUACCCCGGUAGUCCCU